rnacentral:rRNA from 1 species
UACGUAGGUCCCGAGCGUUGUCCGGAUUUAUUGGGCGUAAAGCGAGCGCAGGUGGUUUAUUAAGUCUGGUGUAAAAGGCAGUGGCUCAACCAUUGUAUGCAUUGGAAACUGGUAGACUUAAGUGCAGGAGAGGAGAGUGGAAUUCCAUGUGUAGCGGUGAAAUGCGUAGAUAUAUGGAGGAACACCGGUGGCGAAAGCGGCUCUCUGGCCUGUAACUGACACUGAGGCUCGAAAGCGUGGGGAGCAAGCAGG